CUUUCAGCCUGGCCGCUUAUCCAAACAGCCUAGCCUCAGCCACCCCUGCAGGCAGGCGUUGUCCUCAAUGAGGGCACCUGUGGCCAAACUGUGUCUGAAGCCCCUAGGAAGGACCCUACCAGGCAACUGCUACCUCUGGGCAAUCCGCGGUCCCUGGUGCCCUCUGCUGGACAGGCUGGGCUCUACAUGCCUUCAGAAAGUUACUUCAGGGCCAGGCUGUCGUGAAGGAAACUGAGCCUCUGAGAGAGGUAGUGACAUUCCUUCGGGCAAGCACAGGGGCUGUAGGAUCAGGGGACAGAGGCAAGAACUCUAGCCUCAGAAGUCAUAAGGUCUUCUCACCAGAUCCAAGGACAGCACUGGCUCAAAGUCAGACACCCUGCCUCCAGUCUCCCCGAAUCAUUUCUGGGGGACCUUCUCUCUGCAGACCCCGGGGCAGGAUUCUUGUGGACAUCUCAGAGACUCCUGGCAACUCCAACUGCGCACAUCUGGAAUCCACAUGACCCAGAAGAUUCCCCUCCCUGCCCUGAAACCCUCAAAGAAGCCCUUAAAGAGAUCAGUACUGUUGUUUGAAACCAGAAUUGAGAGGCAAGGCUACCUUUCCACAGAGACCCAGCGGUGUUUCGAAUAGACAAGGGACGGGUGGGGACUAUGAGGGACUCGUGAGAAAUGGACAGAAGUGUCGGUGUUUUCCUGUAUGUGGGAAAUGAGGGAAGAGAGAAAGAAGAGGAGGGAGAAAAUGAGGAGGAACGGAAGGAGGAGGUCACCCAGGGCUGGCCACGGCCUGCACAUCAAACUUAGCCCAAGAAGCAGCUGGCUGGGCUGGACCUACAAACCCCAGCAAUCCAUGAAGUCCAUCUUGGCCCAAGCAGAUGAACACCCACAAACUGUGUGGGACCCACCUGGGCCCAGGCCUGUGUGCUCAGGAUGCUCUGGCUGGCUGUAUGGCAUCCGUUAUGAUGGGCAUGCUUGUGGCCAGCUUGGAUUCCAGGCCUUGCUGCACUUUUAAAGACUUGUCUACUUUUCUGUAUGUAUGUGAGUGUCUUGCCUACAUUGUAUACCAUGUGUGUGCCUGCUGUCCACAGAGACCACAAGAGGGCGUCUGAGGCCCUGGAGCAGGAGUUACAGAUGGUUGUGAGCUGCCACGAGGGGCCUCUGGAAGAGCAGUCAGUGUUCUUACUGCUGAGCCGUCUCUCCAGGCUGUGAGUGAGGACUUUGUUUGUUUGUUUGUUUUGUUUUGUUCGAGACAGGGUUUCUCUGUGUAGCCCUGGCUGUCCUGGAACUCACUUUGUAGACCAGGCUGGCCUCGAACUCAGAAAUCCACCUGCCUCUGCCUCCCAAGUGCUGGGAUUAAAGGCAUGCGCCACAAACACCCAGGUCGGAAGUGAGGAUUUUAAGCUCCGCGUUUACUCAGAUGCAAUGGUCUCAGACACUGGGGCAGACAGUUGGCACUCUGUGGACCCUGACUCCUGAACACAUAGAAAACCUCAGGACAGGGCAGGACACGUCUAGAAAAAUAACAAACACAUUUCUCUACGGUCAACAACAAAUUUGAGAGCUUAGAAUCCAAAAUAUGGUUGGAAUUCAAUACAUGACCUCUGAUGGGAGCUGGCUCUCAUGCCUCAGGAGGGAAUUGAGGCACCCACAGCCAGAAUCUAAGCCACGUUCAUGUAGUUGUCUGAGCUGGAACCCAUCUGGUGACACUCACCACCAAACAAGCAGGCCACACCUUAUUUGUAUUAUAUACCGACUUUAAUAAUAAUAAAAAAUCUAUCAUGAAUUUAAUGAAAAGAAUCUGUACAUUUAAAAUAAACCAGGUAUGCUGCCCUGGCCCUCGGGGCCCUUCCCCGUCCCCCUCAGCAGGGUUAACAGGGGCCCUGGUUCUCUGGAUGAACAAAACACAUCAACAAAGAUGGCCCGAUACCAAGAGAAAGGUGGCCCCGAGGGACCGAGGGGACCAUACUCCCAAACCCAGCCUUACAGCCUUAUAGGUGAGAAGGCAUGCCCUUCCCGCUCCUACAUGCCAGCGGUUCCCUAUAGAUGUUCAGAAGCUGGAGGACAAACAGCCCAGGGGUCCCCACGUGCAGCCGCCGACUCAGAAGGUAGGACAACAGGUUCCUAUCUCUCCGGUUCUCUGACCCUGUUCUGAGAUGAUGACAUCAAAAUAAAGAACACGCAGCCCGGCCCUAAGCCACAACUGAGCACCUCUCAAACUCUGGUCCAGUCGUUGACACAACCAAGUCCAACGUGGGCCGGACUCGCGGGUGCUGAGGCAGGGGAAGGAGCAGUGAAGCCUGUGAGGCACAUCUCACAGCCUUUAGAUUUUAACACGGAAAUAAUGACCUCUUAAACCUUUUCAAUAAUUUAGUUCCUUUUGUUUUUUAGUAGAGCUGAAUAAAGUUGUUGAUAACUACUUUAUGUUGGUCCCAUUAGGCAAUAUACUCUUCUCUGAAAUUUAAAGCGUCAAAGACAUAAUGACAAAAACGUUACGGGGAGGGGGAAAACUCUUGACAACACUAACAAUGACAGUAA